AUGGAGCCGACCUUGAAAUACCACCCUUUAAUGUUUGAUGUUCUAACGUUGACCCGUAAUCCGGGUUGCGGACAGUGUCUGGUGGGUAGUUUGACUGGGGCGGUCUCCUCCUAAAGAGUAACGGAGGAGCACGAAGGUUGGCUAAUCCUGGUCGGACAUCAGGAGGUUAGUGCAAUGGCAUAAGCCAGCUUGACUGCGAGCGUGACGGCGCGAGCAGGUGCGAAAGCAGGUCAUAGUGAUCCGGUGGUUCUGAAUGGAAGGGCCAUCGCUCAACGGAUAAAAGGUACUCCGGGGAUAACAGGCUGAUACCGCCCAAGAGUUCAUAUCGACGGCGGUGUUUGGCACCUCGAUGUCGGCUCAU
rnacentral:rRNA from 1 species